rnacentral:lncRNA from 1 species
ACUUAAAACCUUUUGUACAACAAAGGAAAGCAUCAACAAAAUGAUAAAAGACAACUUACAGAAUAGGAGAAAAUAUUUGCAAAUGAUAUGACUGAUAAGGGGUUUAUAUUCAAAAUAUAUAAACAGCUAACAUAACUCAAUAUAGGAAAAUACAAAAUUGGUAAAAAACCUGAAUAGACAUUUUUUGAAAGUAAUACAGAUGACCAAUAGGCACAUGAAAAUAUGCUAAACAUCACUAAUCAUCAUAAAAAUGCAAAUCAAAACCACAAUGAGGGAGAUGCUAAAAAGGGGGAAUCCGAGUACAUUGUUGUUGGAAAUGUAAACUGGUUCAGCCACUAUUAAAAACAAAAUGGAUGUUCCACAGAAAACUGAAAACAGAACUACCAUAUCGUCCAGCAAUUCAAAUCCUGAGUGUAUAUUCAAAGAAAAUGAAAACAUUAAUUUGAAAGGAUACAUCAACCGUGGUGUUCACAGCAGCAUCACUUACAAUAACCAACAAAUGGAAGCAACCUAAUUUCCAUCAACAGAUGAAUGGAUAAAGAAAAUGAAGUAUAUGUACACAAUAGAAUACUAGUCAGACAUAAAAAAGAAUGAAAUAUUGGACUUCCCAUUCUGGCGAAGCAAAAACUAGUAUCCAUGAGGAUAUGGGUUCGAUACUCAGCCUUGCUCAGUGGGUUAAGAAUCUGACAUUGCCGUGAGCUGUGGGGUAGGUCACAGAUGUGGCUCAGAUCCCAUGUUGCUGUGCCUGUGGUGUAUGCUGGUAGUUGUAGCUCUAAUUUGACCCCCAUCCUGGGAACCUCCAAGUGCCAAGGAUACGGCCAUAAAAGGCAAAAAAAAAAAAAAAGCAUGAAGUUUUGCCAGUUGCAAAAUCAUGCAUGGACCUGGAGGGUAUUAUGCCUAGUGAAAUAAGUUAGAGAAAGACAAGUAUUGUAUGUUAUCACUUACAUAUGUAACCCAAAAUAUAAAAUGAAUAUAACAAAACAGAAAUACACUCACAAAUGUAGACAAGAAACUAGAAGACAGGAGGGGCAAAAUCAGGGUAGGGAAUUAAGAAGUAGAAACUACUAUGUAUAAACUAAUUAAGCUACAAGGAUAUAUUGUACAGCACAGGGAAUAUAGCCAAUACUUUAUAAUAACUUCAAAUGAAGUAUAAUCUGUAAAAAUUGUGAAUCACUAUGUUGUACACCUGAAACUAAUAUUGUAAAUCAAACAUAUGUCAAUUAAAAACAUAGGAUCACCUCUUUGGUUAGUAGGUAAAUGUGUUUGUGGUAGUAAUAAAUAAAUAAGGCAAUACAAAAACACAUUUACUUUAGGAGGUCCUGCUGUGGCACAGUGGGUUAGGAAUCUGAAGUGGCUCAGGUCACUGCAGAGGUAAAGGUUCAAUCUCUGAACCAUCACAGUAGGUUAAUGAUCUGGCCUGCCACAGCUUGGGCAGAGGUCACAGCUGUGGCACAGAUCAUAGCAGUGCUCUGAUUUAAUCCCUUUAUGCCACAGACGCAGGCAUAAAAUUCAAAAAAAAAAAAAAAACAAACAAAAAAAAACACAUUACUUUGCUCUGGUCCCCUUAUUGAAACUUGAAAAAAUUGUAAACAUUAUAUUUUUUAUUUUUUGGUUUUUUGGCCAUACCAGAAUAUUCAGAAGUUCCCAAACCAGGAAGCAAACCUAUUCCACUACUGUGACACAAGCCAUAGCAGUGUCCUUAACCUGCUAUGCCACCAAGGGAACUCUGUGAACAUUUAAAAAGUAAAUAAACUAAAUGAAGAAACAAACAUGAGCAUACAAUGUACUAAAUGCCACAAAGCUUUAAAUAAAUAUUUAAAGAAAAAAUGAUUAUUCAUUGUAGAAUAACAUGCUAUGAAAUAGACAUUUUCAUAUAUUGCCAACAGUAAUACAAGGAUUUAGAAAACAACUUGGCAAUAAUCCUUUGACCUUAUCUUGAAUAAAUCUGCCUUUUUCAUGUAUAUAAAUAAAAUAAUUCUAAGGAAAUAAUUUUAAUGACAAGAGAUAUGAAUCUAAGAAUUAUUUAAAACAGCCAAAAAAAAACUGCGAAUAAGUAAAAUGUGCAAUAAUGACUAAGUAAACAGUCAUGUAUAAAAGUCACAUGAUACCAUACCAGUCACUAUAAGUAAUUCAGAAAGUUCAAUUACAAUAUGAAAACUACUUCAUGCUAAAAUGUUCACUAGCAUUAAGAUUAAGAUGGCGGAAUAGAAGGACUAUAGCUCAACUCCUCUCCUAAAAACAACAAAAUUUACAAACCAAAUACCCAGCACUCUCCACCCAAAUGGAGCAGAAACAUUGAAAAAUAUAUCCUACUCCAGAAGAAAAAGAGGAGGCCACAUCAAGAGGCAGAAGAGGCAAUUACACUAUAUAAACAACCCCAUACCUCCCAGGUGGGAAGCCCCACAGACUGGAAACUAACUGUAUCACAGAGACUCACCCAAAGGAGUGAGAGUUCUGAGCCCCACAUCAAACCCCCAUGCGUGGGGAUCUGGCACUGGGAGAAAGAGCUCCUGGAGCAUCUGGCAUUGAAGGCCAGUGGGGCUUGUGCACAGGAGCUCCAUGGGACUGGGGGAAACGGAGAACCCAUUUUUAAAAGGUGCACACAUACUUUCAAGUGCACUAGGUCCCAAGGCAAAGCUAACUCUCCACAGGAAUGUGGGUUAAAGCUGACUGCCAUUCUUGGAGGACCUCCUGGCAAAACAGGGGUGAAUGUGCCUUGCUGGGGGGAAGGACAUUGGAAGCAAAGAUCUUGGGAAUAUUCAGCAGCAUGCCUUUCUCUGAAGGGGGACAUUUUGGGAUAAUCUGGCCCCACUCAUCAGCCCUGAGAAGCCCCAGGGCAAACAACAAUCCAGGUGGGAUGACACAAAUAUCCAACAGUAAACAGGCUGCCUAAAGUCCCCGAAGGCACACAGCUGCCUCUAAUCUCAUCCAGACACAAAGCCCAACACACCAGAGGGAUAGGAUCAGCUCCACCUACCAGUGGGCAGGCAUCAGCCCCUCCCAUCAGGAAGCCUACAGCAAGCCCCCAUACUGACUUCAGCCACAAGGGGGGCAGACACCAGAAGUGAGAGAGGCUACAAUGCUAUUAUCUGUAAAAAGGUCACCACACCAAAAACCUAUAAAAAUGAAAAGACAGAGAACUAUAACUCAGAUGAGGGAGAAAGACAAAACCCCAGAAUAUCAGCUAAGUGAUCAGGAGAUUCUUGGCCUCCAGGAAAAAGACUUUAGAUUGUUGAUGC